AGCUGCGCGCCUGCUACAGGUGCCUUCAGAUCCGUCUGAAGGUGAAACAGGGAAGCCGGUGACACCGACUCGAAUCGGUCAUUCCGGCGCUGCCCCCGCAACGGUAGGCGAGUCAGACGAUCGCAAUGGCCACUGUGCUCCGGCAUGGGAAGGCGCGAUCGGGGAAGUCCAUACGGACCUCCACUCGCGAGCCCGGAGACCGGCCCGUAGCGCAGACGACGU
rnacentral:ncRNA from 2 species